CAAUAGUGCCUUUCAGGCAUCCUCUCCCAAACUUUUCAAGCCCGGCCUUCGUGCCGGGCUUUUUUCUGCCCUCU
rnacentral:sRNA from 1 species